rnacentral:rRNA from 4 species
GGGGAGUACGGCCGCAAGGCUAAAACUCAAAGGAAUUGACGGGGGCCCGCACAAGCGGCGGAGCAUGCGGAUUAAUUCGAUGCAACGCGAAGAACCUUACCAAGGCUUGACAUGUUCUCGAUCGCCACAGAGAUGUGGUUUCCCCUUUGGGGCGGGUUCACAGGUGGUGCAUGGUUGUCGUCAGCUCGUGUCGUGAGAUGUUGGGUUAAGUCCCGCAACGAGCGCAACCCUCGUUCCAUGUUGCCAGCGGGUUAUGCCGGGGACUCAUGGGAGACUGCCGGGGUCAACUCGGAGGAAGGUGGGGACGACGUCAAAUCAUCAUGCCCCUUAUGUCUUGGGCUUCACGCAUGCUACAAUGGCCGGUACAAUGGGUUGCGAUACUGUGAGGUGGAGCUAAUCCCAAAAAGCCGGUCUCAGUUCGGAUUGGGGUCUGCAACUCGACCCCAUGAAGUCGGAGUCGCUAGUAAUCGCAGAUCAGCAACGCUGCGGUGAAUACGUUCCCGGGCCUUGUACACACCGCCCGUCAAGUCACGAAAGUCGGUAACACCCGAAGCCGGUGGCCCAACCC